UACGUAGGGCGCAAGCGUUGUCCGGAAUUAUUGGGCGUAAAGAGCUCGUAGGCGGUCUGUUGCGUCUGCUGUGAAAACCCGGGGCUUAACCCCGGACUUGCAGUGGGUACGGGCAGACUAGAGUGUGGUAGGGGAGACUGGAAUUCCUGGUGUAGCGGUGGAAUGCGCAGAUAUCAGGAGGAACACCGAUGGCGAAGGCAGGUCUCUGGGCCACUACUGACGCUGAGAAGCGAAAGCAUGGGGAGCGAACAGG
rnacentral:rRNA from 1 species